UUUGCUGUCAAUGCUUCAGUUGUUUUUGCUGUCUCCUCUCAGUCCACUCCAAAGAACUUUCCAAGAAGAGAGUUGAAAAUCACAUUAAAAUAAUUGCAAUUUGUGAGCAUUACAGGCCACAGAAGUUAAUAAAACAGUUCAUCAAAUGUUAUUGUUUAUUUCUCUAUCAUUUCUACUGAUCUCAUUCCCACUGGAGUAUUGUAUUAUAACUUCAAACCUCUUGAAUGAGAGGGAAAUUAAUGACACAUACAAUGUUUCUAAAGAACUAAUGAAAUGUCACAAUUUGAAGAUACUUCUUUGUAAUACUCAAAACAAUUAGUGAGGAAGAGGCACACUCCCAGGAGCCGUCAUUGGUUUUCCAUUAGAUCCAAUCAGUGGUCUUGAAGCACUUGAUGAACUUACAUCACUUCUCUGAAACAAAAAAUGGAAAAAUCAAUUGAAUUAACAUGACAAAG